rnacentral:rRNA from 1 species
UGCAGUCGAGCGGACAGAAGGGAGCUUGCUCCCGGAUGUUAGCGGCGGACGGGUGAGUAACACGUGGGUAACCUGCCUGUAAGACUGGGAUAACUCCGGGAAACCGGAGCUAAUACCGGAUAGUUCCUUGAACCGCAUGGUUCAAGGAUGAAAGACGGUUUCGGCUGUCACUUACAGAUGGACCCGCGGCGCAUUAGCUAGUUGGUGAGGUAACGGCUCACCAAGGCGACGAUGCGUAGCCGACCUGAGAGGGUGAUCGGCCACACUGGGACUGAGACACGGCCCAGACUCCUACGGGAGGCAGCAGUAGGGAAUCUUCCGCAAUGGACGAAAGUCUGACGGAGCAACGCCGCGUGAGUGAUGAAGGUUUUCGGAUCGUAAAGCUCUGUUGUUAGGGAAGAACAAGUGCAAGAGUAACUGCUUGCACCUUGACGGUACCUAACCAGAAAGCCACGGCUAACUACGUGCCAGCAGCCGCGGUAAUACGUAGGUGGCAAGCGUUGUCCGGAAUUAUUGGGCGUAAAGGGCUCGCAGGCGGUUUCUUAAGUCUGAUGUGAAAGCCCCCGGCUCAACCGGGGAGGGUCAUUGGAAACUGGGAAACUUGAGUGCAGAAGAGGAGAGUGGAAUUCCACGUGUAGCGGUGAAAUGCGUAGAGAUGUGGAGGAACACCAGUGGCGAAAGCGACUCUCUGGUCUGUAACUGACGCUG